GAUGAACGCUGGCGGCGUGCCUAAUACAUGCAAGUCGAGCGAACAGAUGAGGAGCUUGCUUCUCUGACGUUAGCGGCGGACGGGUGAGUAACACGUGGAUAACCUCCCUAUAUGACUGGGAUAACUUCGGGAAACCGGAGCUAAUACCGGAUAAUAUCUUUAAAUGCAUGGUUUAGUAGUGAAAGACGGCUUUGCUGUGACUUAUUGCUGGAUCAGCGCCGCAUUAGCUAGUUGGUUAAGUAACGCCUUACCUAGUCAGUGAUGCGAAGGCGACCUGAGAGGAUGAUGCGUCACACUGCAACGAGGACGCGCACCAGCCUCCUAACGGAGGCACCAGCAGAGAAUCUACCGGAAUGGGCGGAAGCCUGUCGUAGCAAAGCCGCGUAAGUCAUGAGCGUCAUCGGAGCGUAAAACACUACUAUUAGGGAAGAACAAAUGUCUAAUUACCUAAGCGCGUAUUGACGGUACCUGAUCAGAAAGCCACGGCUAACUACGUG
rnacentral:rRNA from 1 species